rnacentral:rRNA from 1 species
AGAGCUCAAAUUUAAAAUCUGGCAGUGUAUUCUGUCCGAGUUGUAGUCUAGAGAAGCAUCAUCCGUGCUGGACCAUGUACAAGUCUCUUGGAACAGAGCGUCAUAGAGGGUGAGAAUCCCGUCCUUGACAUGGACUACCAGUGCUUUGUGUUGUGCUCUCAACGAGUCGAGUUGUUUGGGAAUGCAGCUCAAAAUGGGUGGUAAAUUCCAUCUAAAGCUAAAUAUUGGCGAGAGACCGAUAGCGAA